GUUGUCCGACUCUGUUGCCUCCGGGGCGACCCUGCCUUCGGGCGGGGGCUCCGGGUGGACACUUCAAACUCUUGCGUAACUUUGCAGUCUGAGUAAACUUAAUUAAUAAAUUAAAACUUUUAACAACGGAUCUCUUGGUUCUGGCAUCGAUGAAGAACGCAGCGAAAUGCGAUAAGUAAUGUGAAUUGCAGAAUUCAGUGAAUCAUCGAAUCUUUGAACGCACAUUGCGCCCCCUGGUAUUCCGGGGGGCAUGCCUGUUCGAGCGUCAUUUCACCACUCAAGCCUCGCUUGGUAUUGGGCAACGCGGUCCGCCGCGUGCCUCAAAUCGUCCGGCUGGGUCUUCUGUCCCCUAAGCGUUGUGGAAACUAUUCGCUAAAGGGUGUUCGGGAGGCUACGCCGUAAAACAACCCCAUUUCUAAGGUUGACCUCGGAUCAGGUAGGGAUACCCGCUGAACUUAAGCAUAUCAUA
rnacentral:rRNA from 1 species